ensembl:lncRNA
UAAUCAGUUCAUGACGACGAGUAAGAGCAAAUAAACGCUGUCCCCUGCUGAUACAACACAUUCUUACAUCUCCUACAGAUAUCAGUGUCAGUGUUUCUUUGUGCAUUGGUUACAGAUUUGCCCUUUCAAUGCUGUCAAAAACAUCAGUCUGUAAUAUUCUCUUUUAUUUCAUUUCAGUUUAGCAAUCAAUCUGCAAUAUUUUCUGGGAAAUGAUCUGUUUUCAUCGUCUAACAAAAGGACAAGAAACUGGAAAUAAGCUGCUCACACGGGCGUAACCACGCAUUCUUUGGGGGGGUUGUGUACCCACAAUAUUGAGAAAAUACCUAUCUGUUUCACACAAUAUAUAGCAGAAAAUAUGUAAAACAUACGUUCUCCUUUUAGGAAGCGUGUCAAUGGAUCGGUCUCUUGUUAUGUCUUAUUUUUUUUCAAUUUAUUUCCGUUUGUCAAGAAAAACGCACCGGGACCGACGGGCCUCAGCGUCUCUCUGAGUGCUCCUCGCUUCGCUCAGCGGGGCAGCGCGGCCGGCGAAGCAAAGCCACACGAAAAGCACCAUGAAAGCCACCCCCCCUAUGUCUAAACCAUGGUUACGCCCAUGGCUGCUCACACUAGAAUUUCUUAUAUAAAUCAGUGCAAUAAAACAUUUUCAAAACAUCCAUCAUCAGCAAACAAUGCUGCAAGAAAAAGAAAAUACAAAAGCGUUACAGCUGUAGUGUCAUUCACCGGAAUCACAUAAAACUAAAGAUGAACCAAAAAAAAAGGUUAUACAUUGAGAAUAUUUCAAAUAAUAUCUCUUGUAAUAAUAUAUUAACAUAAACAAUCUGGUGUUAAUCCAAAAUAAAGGAGAGCAUACAACAUUUUAAAAUACACAGGAGAACAUACAUGUCACAAUGAUCCAUUACUUCGAUUGUAGAUAGAAAAGUGUGUUCCUUGUAUAUUGUCGUGUGAAUACAGAAUCACCAGAGGGCAUUUUGUUUAUUGAUAAAUAUAAAUAUAAAAAAGUUCACUGGAGGAAAACUCGGCUUACAAUAGAUCUAGUUCUUCCUGUCCCAAUGUGAAGGUCCUGUUUGUAAUAUUGGAGAACUGAAAUAUAAAUUUAAAAAAGCCUUCCUUUUGAUAAGAUCACAAAAUGACAGACUAAUGCUUUUAAUUUGAUAAGUUAGACAUACAUUCAUAUUUGUUAUUGCUUAGUUCAGUAUAAAAACAUAAAAAAAACAUUUGAGCUAUUAUUCAGGCAUAUACCAUGAAUAUGAUUUAAAAAUCUUAAGGGAAAACAAUCCUUUUCUUGUUGGAGUUUCUGGUCCUCGUCGCUUCCUUUCAGGUUCAUCUCACUCUGAGCUGAGACUCUCUGUGGCUUCGUGUAAAGAUGUGAUCUCUGCUCUGUGUGUGUUUUCAGCCUUCUAGUUUAAAUUCUUGUUUUGCUGGUUUCAAUGACAGCAUUUGUGUUGAGUUGACUUAUUCUUGCCCUGUUUUAUUUAAAGCUUCACUUUCACCAUCUGCUUCCUUCGUAAAUCUCACCAUGUUCUCCAAGUUGCAUAAAAGCCAACGACACACCUUCAUGUUCCUUUUGUCCUGCUUUAUCCUCACUGCAUCUGUCAUUGCCUUUCUCCCUGAGAGCCACACUAGGCCUCAUUUCGAUCUUCAACAGUUUUGUCCUCGCCUUCAUCUGACUGCCCCUCCGUGUCCUGUGAGUCAGUGGAGGUCUCGUGCUCUUCUUCUUCGUCUGGUUGUGCUUGUUUAGUGUCUGAGGACACUGGACCAGCAUCAGUGUUGCUGUGGUCUAGUUUGGUUCUUGGGCUAUGAGUUUGCUGAAUUCAGAUGCUGUUGUGUGUCUGUUUCUUCAUGGUCUCCUGCAUUUGUUUUACUUUUAUCUUCAACAAUUUUUUUCUCGCCUUCAUCUGACUGCCCCUCCGUGUCCUGUGAGUCAGUGGAGGUCUCGUGCUCUUCUUCUUCGUCUGGUUGUGCUUGUUUAGUGUCUGAGGACACUGGACCAGCAUCAGUGUUGCUGUGGUCUGGUUUGGUUCUUGGGCUAUGAGGUUGCUCAGAGUUUGCUGAAUUCAGAUGCUGUUGUGUGUCUGUUUCUUCAUGGUCUCCUGCAUUUGUUUUACUUUUAUCUUCAACAAUUUUUUUCUCACCUUCAUCUGACUGCCCCUCCGUGUCCUGUGAGUCAGUGGAGGUCUCGUGCUCUUCUUCUUCGUCUGGUUGUGCUUGUUUAGUGUCUGAGGACACUGGACCAGCAUCAGUGUUGCUGUGGUCUGGUUUGGUUCUUGGGCUAUGAGGUUGCUCAGAGUUUGCUGAAUUCAGAUGCUGUUGUGUGUCUGUUUCUUCAUGGUCUCCUGCAUUUGUUUUACUUUUAUCUUCAACAAUUUUUUUCUCACCUUCAUCUGACUGCCCCUCCGUGUCCUGUGAGUCAGUGGAGGUCUCGU